ensembl:snoRNA SNORD24 Small nucleolar RNA SNORD24
UGCAGAUGAUGCUAAGAAUAUUUGCUAUCUGACAAGCAAUGCUGACAGCAACACCACCAAGAUCGCUGAUGCC